rnacentral:rRNA from 1 species
AAGAGCUCGUAGGCGGUUUGUCGCGUCUGCUGUGAAAGACCGGGGCUCAACUCCGGUUCUGCAGUGGGUACGGGCAGACUAGAGUGCAGUAGGGGAGACUGGAAUUCCUGGUGUAGCGGUGAAAUGCGCAGAUAUCAGGAGGAACACCGAUGGCGAAGGCAGGUCUCUGGGCUGUAACUGACGCUGAGGAGCGAAAGCAUGGGGAGCGAACAGGAUUAGAUACCCUGGUAGUCCAUGCCGUAAACGUUGGGCACUAGGUGUGGGGGACAUUCCACGUUUUCCGCGCCGUAGCUAACGCAUUAAGUGCCCCGCCUGGGGAGUACGGCCGCAAGGCUAAAACUCAAAGGAAUUGACGGGGGCCCGCACAAGCGGCGGAGCAUGCGGAUUAAUUCGAUGCAACGCGAAGAACCUUACCAAGGCUUGACAUGAACCGGUAAUACCUGGAAACAGGUGCCCCGCUUGCGGUCGGUUUACAGGUGGUGCAUGGUUGUCGUCAGCUCGUGUCGUGAGAUGUUGGGUUAAGUCCCGCAACGAGCGCAACCCUCGUUCUAUGUUGCCAGCGCGUUAUGGCGGGGACUCAUAGGAGACUGCCGGGGUCAACUCGGAGGAAGGUGGGGACGACGUCAAAUCAUCAUGCCCCUUAUGUCUUGGGCUUCACGCAUGCUACAAUGGCCGGUACAAAGGGUUGCGAUACUGUGAGGUGGAGCUAAUCCCAAAAAGCCGGUCUCAGUUCGGAUUGGGGUCUGCAACUCGACCCCAUGAAGUCGGAGUCGCUAGUAAUCGCAGAUCAGCAACGCUGCGGUGAAUACGUUCCCGGGCCUUGUACACACCGCCCGUCAAGUCACGAAGUGGUACACCCGAAGCCGGUGGCCUAACCCUUGUGGGGGAGCCGUCGAAGUGGGACCGGCGAUUGGGACUAAGUCGUACCAAGGUAGCCC